rnacentral:rRNA from 1 species
GAUGAACGCUGGCGGCGUGCCUAAUACAUGCAAGUCGAGCGAACUGAUUAGAAGCCUUCUUCUAUGACGUUAGCGGCGGACGGGUGAGUAACACUUGGGCAACCUGCCUGUAAGACUGGGAUAACUUCGGGAAACCGAAGCUACUACCGGAUAGAAUCUUGUCCUUCAUGGGAGAGGAUUUAAAGAUGGUUCCGGCUAUCACUUACAGAUGGGCCUGCUGUGCAUUAGCUAGUUGGUGAGGUAACGGCUCACAAAGGCAACGAUGCAUAGCCGACCAGAGAGGGUGAUCGGCCACACUAGGACUGAGACACGGCCCAGACUCCUACGGGAGGCAGCAGUAGGGAAUCUUCCGCAAUGGACGAAAGUCUGACGGAGCAACGCCGCGUGAGUGAUGAAGGCUUUCGGGUCGUAAAACUCUGUUGUUAGGGAAGAACAAGUACAAGAGUAACUGCUUGUACCUUGACGGUACCUAACCAGAAAGCCACGGCUAACUACGUGCCAGCAGCCGCCGUAA